rnacentral:rRNA from 1 species
GACGAACCGUGCGAACGUUGUUCGGAUUCACUGGGCUUAAAGGGCGCGUAGGCGGGCGGUCAAGUCGGGGGUGAAAUCUCCUGGCUCAACUGGGAGGGUGCGGCGGAGACUGCCAGACUGGAGGCACUCAGAGGCCGGUGGAAUUCCCGGUGUAGUGGUGAAAUGCGUAGAGAUCGGGAGGAACACCAGUGGCGAAGGCGGCCGGCUGGGGGUGACCUGACGCUGAGGCACGAAAGCGUGGGGAGCAAACAGG